GCUUUCAUAGCAUCAUGUCACUAUUGCCUGCAUAGGCACAUAGGACCAGAGACGGGAAGGUAGACCAUCUCAAUGUACAAGUUCAUGGAGUCUGAAGUGGCUAGGAUAGUAAACUUCAGAAAAGAUGUUUCCAAGCAACUUGUGGAGAUCUUGGAAAUGAAAACAUAGACGUCGUCAUCAUGAAUAGUCCUCCUGAUCCUGAUUGUCACCGAAAAUAAUUCCCAAGACAGCUGAAGAGGCCUUCGGGUUCAGGCUCCGCCCAUCCAUCCAUCUGCCCCACCCUUCAUUCUUGCUUCGUUCCAAAGAAGAGAAGGAAGAAGAGAGAAGGGAUUGAGCAGAGGCCUGGGCACGCAUGGGUCCCCUCUGGCAGUGGGCAGAGUCACAGGGCGGAAGCAAGUUGUCUUUCUUCCUGCCCAGCUUCAAAUGCAGCCGGAGAGAGGAGCUAGCUGGGAACUUGAACAUCUGCAGAAAGCCUGGAUACUUCCUUCUGUCUUUCUUCUCCCCUGUGGCAGUCAGGGCAGGGCUUCCUCUUUGCCUGUGCCUGAGCUUCUGGAUGGGGUCAGAGGCAAGUGUGCCUUUUUCUGAGCUCUGUCUCGCCCAGUGUAGACAAACAGACACAUGUACACAUGUACACACACACACACACACACACACACACACACACACACACACACACACGACUGUCUUUCCCUGCUGAAAGGCUCCCAGACAGAGCUAUGCAGGGGAGGCUGCCCCACAGUGUCUAGCUCCAAGUAGGCCUCAGAAUUUUGUUAGGAGAGUGGGGCUGAAAACCCUUUAAUCCCAAAGUUGCCUCCAGGAAGCUCUCCUGGAGCAGUAAACAGGGGCAGUGGGAAAGUCCCCGGUGAGAUUUGUGUGGGCUCAGUAUUGAUGGCCGACAGAUCCUCACUUCUCUGGAUUAUUAGGGACAAAAUCCAGGCUGGGAUUCCUUCACCAAAGCUGGGAGAUGUUUGACAACUGGUUUAAGUUAUAGCAACUGGCUAUUCAGAAAGGAAGGAAGGAAGGAAGGAAGGAAGGAAGGAAGGGAGGGAGGGAGGAAGGAAGGAAGGAAGGCGGAGAGGAAGGAAGGAGGAAGGAAGGAAGGAAGGCGGAGAGGAAGGAAGGAGGAAGGGAGGAAGGAAGGAAGGAAGGAAGGAAGGAAGGAAGGAAGGAAAAUAUCUGAUUUACAGUGUUUUCAGAUUCCUAGUUUAAAUCCACCUUGGCUGGUUUCAGAGGCAGCAGACGGUUUACACAGUUUCUGACCAAAGGUUAGCCACAGGCUCUUGCAAAGCAGAGGAGGCCCACCCUGGCCAAUUGAAGGCAGCACACUGAAGGCUGAUUCUCUCACUUGGUCACCGUGUGGGAGAAGAAGGAUGUAGAAAUGACCUCACUGAGGUUGAGAACUCGGGAAAGCACAGCCUGUAGGCUUCUCUCUGCAAACCAACCCCUCGUCACCAUGGAUUCCCUCUCUAGUCCAGACAUGACAGCUUUUGGAGUUACCUCCACACUGAGUCAUAGGUAGAGACAAAGAAGCCACAGCCCUUGCUUGAAACAUCCUGGAAAGGUUAACCAGUCCUUCUUUUGUCGCAG
rnacentral:lncRNA from 1 species